GAGGAACCGUUGAUUCGCA
rnacentral:snRNA from 1 species